rfam:Tuber melanosporum whole genome shotgun sequence assembly, scaffold_193, strain Mel28
GUGUUCGGCCAUAGAACGAUGAAAAUUUCGCAUCCCGUCCGCUCUGCGGUAAACAAGUAUCGUAUCGUCCGCCUAGUACUACAGUGGGUGACCAUGUGGGAAUCCCGGAUGCUGAACCUU